CCACUGAGUUCUUAAAGGGCUGCGGUAAUUUGACCGUGCAAAGGUAGCAUAAUCAAUAGUCUUUUAAUUGGAGGCUUGGAUGAAAGGCUUGACGGGGAGAGAGCUGUCUUGUUAAGUUUGUACUGAAUUUAACGUCUGUGUGAAAAGGCAUUGAUGGUUUAGGGGGACGAUAAGACCCUAUAAAAUUUGACAUGUAUCUUUCCGCUUUAUAGAACUGGUACAUUAAGUUAUUAGGCGGUGGGUGGUGUUUCGCUGGGGCGGCGUGAAUAUAAUAGUUUAACUGUUCAUGAGAUGAAAUACAAAUAUGUAGAUUGUGGUCCUUUAUUAAAGAUAUAAGAGUAAGUUACUUUAGGGAUAACAGCAUAAUUUUUCCUGAGAGUUCUUAUCGAAGGGAGUAGUUGUGACCUCGAUGUUGAAUUAAACUUUCC
rnacentral:rRNA from 1 species